rnacentral:misc_RNA from 1 species
AACUUUUAGCAAUGGAUCUCUUGGCUCUUGCAACGAUGAAGAACGCAGCCAAGUGCGAAAAGUAGUGUGAUUUGCAUGAAUCUGCGAGCCAUUGAGUUUUUGAACGCAUCUUGCGCUUUUUUCGCUAGGAGAAAGCAUGUCUGUUUGAGAAUUGGGAGUAUGUUGCUUCGAGUGGGGAGCAGACGUGGUGGAGGCGCGGGUGUGCGUGUGCACGCAGCGCUGAUCCGCCUGAAUGGAGGGGUUUGGGGGAGAGAAAGGAGACGGGUUUUGUGUGACGAGUAAUGUGAUUAUUUCAUUCGCAACGCUCUCUCUGCUCUCCACACCAAUCCCGCACACGUGCACGCACAACAAGCAAUCUCAAAUCAGACAAGACUACCCGCCAAACUUAAGCAUAUCAAUAAGCGGAGGCU